AUGCCGCAGACGAAGGCUACGGUCUCGACCGGAGGAUCUGCCGCCCUGGCUGCCCUUCACGGGAACACAACUGCCCAGGAUUCCGAAGAAUCCGCCGCCAAGCACCGUACAAAGAAGGCACGCACGGUCUCGAGCGGGGAGACCUCAAUGGUGGAUGCCGAUGCCAGCUUGGGUGGAGACAUGGUGCACGGCCACCCUGCAAAGGAGCCUGAUACUGCCAAGGACUUUCAGAAAUCUGAUUCAGACGAGACUGUACUACAUGCCAAGGAAGAAAACGAGGAGGUGAAAGAGGCGGAGCUUCUGAUCCAAAUGAUGAAUGAUCUGGGCAUAGGAGAGCAUGUCAGCGACGACGAGUUCAACGCUUACUUUGAUCAGCUACCUUCCAUGCCUCGGAUCUAUCCUGAUGCUGUCAAACUGACCAGCGAGGAGCUCGACAAGCAAGUCGUUCGCCUUGCGCUGUACCGCUUCAGAUCUUACAAACACAAGGUGAAAGAGGAGGGGAAGGACGAUACGCUGGGCCUUAAGGACGUUUCUGAGGACGAGUGUGAUCGACAGUUUCUUAAGAAGUGGGGAUACUUCAAGCCGAUCGAGGAAAAUUGGACACUUGAUUGGUAUUUCCACCCUGAUUACUGCAAAGAUCCUUCUCUGAGUGACUACCAACGCCUAGUCCUGCGAAAUUAUGGUGGUACUGAGUACGGCAGGUGGAGUGGCUACCACGAAUUCCUUUGUAGCCAUGUCAUUGAAGAAGAGUAUGCCAAUUACUGCGAGGAACUAUUCAAGCAACUACAGUGGAUGGAAGGUUAUCUAGAUGCUCGCCGGCCAUCUUAUAAGUGGGAUUGCAUAUCCUCCCGGGGAGCUUUCCAAGCAAUUAAGAUCGCUGCUACUACCUUCCCCAAGAUCAGUGCGUCUUUAGCUUACUAUGGCUACCAUGAGUGUAUAGCGAGCAUGGGCUAUGACAGUUUUUGGUUUAAGGAGUUGGACGGUGUCUAUUUUGAGAUUUGGCGGCGGGUCACGCAACGAAUGAUGAGUUUCAGAGAAGCUCUAGAGGAGGUUUAUAAUCUGGACAGGUUUCCAUUACGCCAACAUAGGAUGAAAGUUGCACUGGAGGAUGACUACAUCAUGGGGAGAAUGAAAUCGGAGUACCGUGCCUGCACGGCAGCCAUUACCCCGGAAGUUAAAGAGGAUGGAGCUAAGGAGUUGAUUGCAGAGGCAAUUAGAAAGCGGAUUAAUAAGCCAAAGUACUAUGAUGAGUACAUCAGAAAGAAGAUUCACAUCGCCCGCGUUGUUGGAAUCAUUCCUCCGCUCUAA
rnacentral:rRNA from 1 species